rnacentral:tRNA from 1 species
GGGGUUGUGGCUCCGUGGUAGAGUGCUCACCUAGAAUGCUUGAGGCACUGAUUUCAAUCCUCAGCACCACA